CCUACGGGAGGCAGCAGUGGGGAAUAUUGCGCAAUGGGCGAAAGCCUGACGCAGCGACGCCGCGUGAGGGAUGAAGGUUCUCGGAUCGUAAACCUCUGUCAGAAGGGAAGAAAUUAUAUCAUGCUAAUCAGUGGUGUAUUGACGGUACCUUCAAAGGAAGCACCGGCUAACUCCGUGCCAGCAGCCGCGGUAAUACGGAGGGUGCGAGCGUUAAUCGGAAUUACUGGGCGUAAAGCGCACGUAGGCUGUAUGACAAGUCAAGGGUGAAAUGCCACGGCUCAACCGUGGAACUGCCUUUGAAACUGUCAAACUGGAGUAUGUGAGAGGGCGGCGGAAUUCCUGGUGUAGGAGUGAAAUCCGUAGAUAUCAGGAGGAACAUCAGUGGCGAAGGCGGCCGCCUGGCACAAAACUGACGCUGAGGUGCGAAAGCGUGGGUAG
rnacentral:rRNA from 1 species